rnacentral:rRNA from 1 species
UACAGAGGUCCCAAGCGUUGUUCGGAUUCACUGGGCGUAAAGGGUGCGUAGGCGGUCGGGUAAGUCUGAUGUGAAAUCUCACAGCUUAACUGUGAAACUGCAUUGGAUACUAUCCGGCUCGAGGAAUGGAGGGGAGACUGGAAUACCUGGUGUAGCAGUGAAAUGCGUAGAUAUCAAGUGGAACACCAGUGGCGAAGGCGAGUCUCUGGGCCGAUAUCGACGCUGAGGAGCGAAAGCGUGGGGAGCGAACAGG